CGCGGGGUGGAGCAGCCCGGUAGCUCGUCAGGCUCAUAACCUGAAGGCCGCAGGUUCAAAUCCUGCCCCCGCAACCG
rnacentral:tRNA from 4 species